GGUGAACGCUGGCGGCGUGCCUAAUACAUGCAAGUCGAGCGAACGGACGAGAAGCUUGCUUCUCUGAUGUUAGCGGCGGACGGGUGAGUAACACGUGGAUAACCUACCUAUAAGACUGGGAUAACUUCGGGAAACCGGAGCUAAUACCGGAUAAUAUUUUGAACCGCAUGGUUCAAAAGUGAAAGACGGUCUUGCUGUCACUUAUAGAUGGAUCCGCGCCGCAUUAGCUAGUUGGUAAGGUAACGGCUUACCAAGGCAACGAUGCAUAGCCGACCUGAGAGGGUGAUCGGCCACACUGGAACUGAGACACGGUCCAGACUCCUACGGGAGGCAGCAGUAGGGAAUCUUCCGCAAUGGGCGAAAGCCUGACGGAGCAACGCCGCGUGAGUGAUGAAGGUCUUCGGAUCGUAAAACUCUGUUAUUAGGGAAGAACAUAUGUGUAAGUAACUGUGCACAUCUUGACGGUACCUAAUCAGAAAGCCACGGCUAACUACGUG
rnacentral:rRNA from 1 species